ensembl:lncRNA
GCCGGUGCCCAGGAGGGAGUCUGCACAGAGCUGACUUCGGGCAGCUGCCUCGGAUGUUUGGGUGGCCAACCUCCUGCAGCCUGAGGGGAAGCCAGGCACAAGUAGGCCAGCACCGUCCCGUCCCUCUGCAGAAGCGCCAUCGGGGAGGAAGCCACAGAGCCACACCAGCCUCAGGAAUGGGGACAACACAGUGCUGAGGGGAGGGACACGCAGUGCUGCCAUCCCCAUGCUGGAGACGGUGGGUUCCACCCGGGGGAUGGAGCCAGCGGCCUGGCACCCGGCAUGCUACAGAGCCAGUGUUGCACCCACGGGUGCCAAGGAUGCCCCUCCACACCGGGCACCCCCAGGUCGCCAGGCCAUGUGCUGAGCCACCUCAGGACAGGCAACUGCCAGCCGAGACUGGGCCUCUUCCCCAUGCCAGACUGCAGGCUCCAGGGCAGGCAUGAACCAAGAGCAACACGGAGCCCUUGAACCCUGCCGAGCCUGGCUGCCAGGGUCCAGCAGAUCCAUCCCAGGAGACUUUGGAAGAACAAGACCUCAGGCCUGAGCCUGCUGUGGCCUUCAGGAGACACCAGAUCCGCAGUGUCCGGGGACCAUGCUGCUGGCUGAUCUUCCUGCAGUCCCAGAGCCGGGCCAGAUUAAACCAUGGAGGAGCUGUGGAGACAACGCUGCGGUUUACAGUGACGGCUGGCGGGCGCUGCCCAGAAUAUUUUUCCAGUGAGGUGCUGAUGAGAAACGGCUCUGAGGACCAUAAAAUCGAUCUCGUGCAUUUGUCCCGACAGCUGCUUGUUCCAGGGAACUUUGCUUCAAAUUCAAAAUAAAGAGCCUCACUGGAUGUCAGCCUUGGGAGGAGGAGACCAGCCAGCGAGGCAGGCCCAGCCCAGGUCACCCGAACACUGUCCGGGCAGGUCCAGGGCACCUGCCUCCAGGUGUGCGACUUGUGACAAACACACUAGGCUGCCCACUGACGGGAGUGGGCCCUGCACCAGGCAGGUUCUCUGGGGAACAGAAUCAUGGAGAACGUGGUUUUGAUCAUGCACGGGGUUACUAGUCCGGCCCACGGUCUGGGCGGAGAGUCCACGGCCGUACAGCAAGGAGGGUCCAGGAGCUGCCCAGCCAGGAGCUGAAGCCACAGAACACAAGGGCCAGGACUGAAGCCCCAGCCCAACUGAGGCCCGAAGCCCCCUGGAGAGUAGCCGGGAAUCUGCUCCAGAAGCUGGAGGCCGCCCUCGGAAGGCCAUGGUGAAGACUGGUGCUCUCGCACCUAGCGAAUCUGGGCCACAGGCCUACUGGCUGGUGCCACCCACAUCGGCUGGGCCGCCCCUCUCGGUUGGCUGGCCCCCACGUCAGUCAUCCACAGACACACAGGAGGGCUACAGGAGGGCUUCUGUGGGGGUGGUGAUGCCCUGACCAGUGCUCUCUGCAAAUCCAGAGCUCAGCAGUGCACCUACUUCCCCUUCUGAAGCUUCCUGCUUGGCCAGCCUGACACCCUCUCCUGCGCCCCUCCAGCAUGUGGCUUUGCCCAUGGAGAAUGUGCCCCUUGUCCUGAGAUCCCUGGGGAAUCGGGGCCACCAAGGGCAGGGGACAGUGAGGAUGGCAGCGGCCGAUGAUGGCAGUGGCCAUGCCAGCCUCCCUGCUGGCUUCCCACCUCCUUGGGUGCCCAGGGCCCAGGCCUCCGGGGGGCUUCCUGCCGGCUCUUCUGUGUGACCCCCCCAGUGCCCCGCCCCUGGUGUCAAACUGACCUCAGCCUCACUAGAAGAAGCCGUGUGGAGCCUGUGGGCCUGGCCUCCGAGCACAGCCUCAGGCAGCAGGGUGCCCUAAAUGUGCUUCUCCAGGUCCUGGUCCCCAAAAUGCUCCCCUUGUGUCCAGUAACCAUCGGGAGCUGCUGGUGGCAUUCUGUGUCCUCCGAAUGAAGACUGCUCCACUCUCUGAAGCGACCUCAAGGACAAAGAUCAACUGGCCCCUCUCGUGUGGCAGCAACAGAAUUCAGUUUGAGAAAAGCAAAGCGUGUUUUCGCAACAGCAACUACAAAGUGUCAUGCAAUCAUGCGACAAUAUGGUGUCUCCCUGCACUGACCAGAAAAUGACUUCUGGAAUAUAACGUGGGACAGGAGACACCCAUGAGAAAGGACAGCAUACCCUUCCUCGCGGCGACAGUGGCUCCUAGGGACCCAGUCUGGCCUGGGGAAGCCACCACUCACCAGUAGGAAGAAAAGUGGAGAGAAAAGGAGCCGGGUUUGGAGAGUGACUGGCCACGCCCCACCUCAGGUGCAGCUGCAGCUCUGGCCCUGAGCCAUUUGCUGUAGCAGGGCCAGGACCUGUAGGCCGAUGGUCCCAGGUCUGAGGCAGACAGCACUCGGGGGCAUCUUGUCCUAGAAAGCAGAAGCCACCACGAAUCCCAGGACCACACAGAGAGAUGGGACAGCUUGUUGUGGCUUCCAGUGGCCAGAGGAGGCCCAUGAGGGUCACAUUACAGAGAUUCCAAACCGCGAACCCCAUUCCGCCAUGGGGAGAGGUUCCUACCCUCACCCCGGGGGAUUCUGGGAGGCCAGCCAUGCAACACCCUUCCCUGCAGUGUGACCAGCAGUGACCCUGGGGCCCUGCUCCCUCCGGAGUAUCCAGCUCACCACGGAAGGGAACAGAAUGCAGAUGGAUCCUGGGUCAGUUCCUGGGGCACAAUAGGCUGAGCAUCGCAGGAGCACACCAAGCCCCGGAGGAGAGCGACAGGAAUGCACCCAAGUCUGAGGCAGCCUGGCAGCACCAAGCCAGGGGAGGGGUGCCUGUGUCCACUUGCCCGAGCAUGGGCCACCUGGACAGAGGGCAAGCUGAGGGGCUCCACUCCAUCAUGGGCGGAAGGGCAGCAGAAAGGUGAAAGUGGAGGAGAACCCAGAAGGUCUCAGGGAUCCAGAAGAUGAGGACAAACUGCAGCACCUGUGGCCAAGUCUGUGUGCGUGGCCUGGUACCCAGAGCAGGGCAGGCGGGGGCCACCGAGGGUGUACAGCUUCACCGUAGGAUGAUGGAGCCCUCCAGGCAGACUGGAUCAGGGCUGCACAUUUGUGAGUCACUGAAACCCGCUGCUGACUUCCGCGAUUCACACCGACACUUCACAGUUUAUCUCAAAGAAGCUGUUGUUCUAAAGUUAAAACUUAAAAAUGAAUAAAUAAACUGGGAGAAAGGCAAAGGAACAGGAACACUGCUUUUUGCAGACCCUAGAAAGUCCUUGACUUUUUAGGAAUGACGGCACUAGGUUUGUCACAGACACGGUGUCCUGAAUCAGCUUCUGAGCACUCGGUCCGGGCCAGGAGAGCGGAGGAGCUGGUUCUACCUGCACAGAGUGCGGCCUGGGCCCCAUGUUCUCCCUGCUCGGAACCCUCCCCUCUUUUGUAAAUGUUUGGGAUUCUCCAUGAAAAAAACUUCAAGCUGCAGAUUCGGGACAAGGGACCCCAGCAUCCACCAAUUGCCCCUCCUGCUUUCAGGGGACAGCUC